ACGGCCCACCAAGGCGACGAUCAGUAGCCGACCUGAGAGGGUGACCGGCCACAUUGGGACUGAGACACGGCCCAAACUCCUACGGGAGGCAGCAGUGGGGAAUAUUGCGCAAUGGGGGAAACCCUGACGCAGCAACGCCGCGUGAAGGACGAAGGUUUUCGGAUUGUAAACUUCUUUUGUUAGGGACGAAGAAAUGACGGUACCUGACGAAUAAGCUCCGGCUAACUAC
rnacentral:rRNA from 1 species